GCUUGCUUUGGCAGUGCAUAUACUAAAAUUUGAAUGAUACAGAAAAGAUUAGCAAGGCCCCUGGCACAAGGAUGACAUGCAAAUUCAAAAAGCAUUCCAUAAAAAU
ensembl:snRNA U6 U6 spliceosomal RNA